UACGUAGGGUGCGAGCGUUAAUCGGAAUUACUGGGCGUAAAGCGUGCGCAGGCGGUUCGUUAUGUCCGAUGUGAAAGCCCCGAGCUUAACUUGGGAAUGGCAUUGGAAACUGGCGGGCUGGAGUGCGGCAGAGGGGGGUGGAAUUCCACGUGUAGCAGUGAAAUGCGUAGAGAUGUGGAGGAACACCGAUGGCGAAGGCGGCGACCUGGGUAGAUACUGACGCUGAGGUGCGAAAGCGUGGGGAGCAAACAGG
rnacentral:rRNA from 1 species